CUAAAGUGAACUUUAUAAAGGAUUCAUAAAAUAUCACCAUUUUAGUCCAUCAAAUAUAACAUGUAAAAUAGAGGAACUGAUUAUCAUGCUGGCAGCUUUUGGCUAUUUUAAAGGUUAAAUAGGAAUUGUCCUAGAGGCCCUUAAGCUUACUGUGAUUUUCACACUAGAAUAGUAAUGAAUUAAGGUGUAGAUAGUCGUGGUGCUUUGACUAUUAAAAAAAGACAAUUCCCAGGGCAAAUACAUGAGAAAUUUGGACUUGUGGAAUUCUCAUAUGUUCAGUUACUUAAAUUAUUCAAAGUGAUUUCUAUUGACACUUCGGCUAGAACACUUUUCCAAUUAUUGUUUGCUUACUGUUUCCCCUUUUCUUUUUUCAUUUUAGGGCUGCACAUGUGCCAGGUGGAAGUUACCAGGCUAGGGGCCACUCCUGCUAGCCUACACUCCAGCCACAGCAAUGCACAAUCUGAGCAGCACCUGUGACCUAUACCACAGCUCAUGGCAAUGCCGGAUCCUUAAGACGCUGAAAUAAAGGCUAAAUCACUUGGUCCAAAGAGAGUACUUUCAAUUUAUGAAAAGAUGAUGACAAAAGUCUUCUGCAGAAAACAAAAUACCGACUGGAAUCUUUUGGUCCCAGGAUAAUGUGUGGAACUAACACCUUAUUAGAUAAUCCCAUGCCAGCCUUGAUGGCUUCAAUUGUAAAGACAAAUUAUAAUUUCUUUUUAAGGAUAAAGAGCCUAAUAUCUUCAAAAUAAAGAAGUGUUUCAGGCAGUUCUGAGAAGUGAAUUUCUAAAUAACACUUGUGUUUCAAACCAAGAGAGGUUAUCUUCCCUAAGCUAGCCUAGUGUCUGUCUUUGCCAUUAUUCUUACUUAUUCUCACUUGUUGGAGCAUAAAUCCAGGUGCAAGUUUGCUUAUAAAAAUAAAAGCCUACUGUACAUGUUUUUUUAAAAAAACAACCAAGAGAGGUAUUUUGUUUCCAAGGAGAAAGUUUAUAAUUUUUAAUCUUUCCACUGCUUACCUGAAGAAAAACAACACUCUCUUUUCCAUUUUUCUUUGCAUCUGAAUCACAGCUUAGUAAUGGUGAAUUAAUUUUGAAUUACUUUUGAAAUAGACCUUGUCCUAUAUUUUUACACCCUCUAAUCCAAUUUAAAAUAAUCUGAUCUAACAUCGGUAAUGUUUGCAUUUAUUUCACGUUUCAAACAUUUUGUACAUUUCCACUCACUCCACUGAUACGUUCAAAACAGUCAGCAUUUCUCAGUGUGAAAUACCCAGUUGUAUAAUCAAAAUCCUGGCACCUAUUAAGUGCAAGUGCUUAUUUAAAAUGUGUAGUGAUUAGAACCUUUUCUCUCAAAUCACAUCUUGUUGAAGUUAAUGAAUUCUUUGUAGGAAUAUUAACUAGCUUCUACAUUUCACCGAGGAUCCCUUCCUACUGCUUUUCACGAACACUGAAUGCAUUAACGAGGAACGGUGACUGACUGCUGAAAAAUCUCUGAUACAGUGGACAAAGGACGGCACGGGACCCUGCAUUACACAUACCUUUCCUCUCUCAAAUGCACAAGUUCAAAUUUUGAGUGUGGAAUUAUUUUAACUCCUGUUGCUAUUAAGUACAUAUGUUCUGACAGGUAUACAUUUAAUCCAAGAUAGACUAUGCCUGCCAGGCUGCAGGGAUUAGAAAAGAAGGGCAGCCUAAGUCGGAAUUGAACUUGUCCUUGGCAGGGCUGCCAAAGCAGCUUACACCACGGUUAUCCUGGUUUUGAUCAUCACUAGUAGUCUCCCAUUUUCAUACCAAAAUAUAAAAACAUGUCAAAGAGAGAGACUCUAGAAAUAAGCCCCGGGAAAUGAAACUACAGCUCUGCAAAAGACUUUAGCAAUCACACCAUCUUGUAGACUCUAAAGCACUGGCUGCUCUUCCGGCGAGGGAGUUACAAAUGCAGGUUCCAAAACAGUCACGAUCCUGGCCAAAAGCAUGCUAACGCUUUUGCAUCAUGCCCGAUGCAAAAAAGCAGCAGAUAGGAGUUGGUAAAAUCACUUGGUGGAUCAGAGCUUCCUAUGUGACUGUUUCGGAAUCUAUUUACUGCUGAGUGGCUCGAAAGGAAAACUAUAAUCAGCCUGUUCUAUCACGUACUCACAGAGCCUCGCUGCUCGAGAACGUCACUGCUAUUAGCCAAGAACAGGAUCUUUUUUUAUCUUCUCUCUUGACGCUGCUCAUUCCUUGAUACGUAACCACCGGAACAGGUGGAAAAUUUCCACCAACACUAAACUUGAGAGAUUUACCAAAUUUCAUUGGAUUUUGCAUAGAACUCUGCAUGGUGACUUAUACUUAAUAUUUCUGAGCACUCAUUGCACAGCAUGAAAUAUAUGCUCAAUGCUUUAGGGGACACAGCUGAUUUUCUUUUAAGAACAAUUUCAGGAAGAAGCUCCUCUUAUCACCCUCUGUUUGCAGAGAAGAAAACCAAGUUCAGAGACGUGAAACACAUGAGUAGAAAUCACGGAGCUAGGAAAUUUGCAGUCAGGAUUCAAAUCAAUUCAUUCCAACUCGAGGCUCUUAAACAUUGUGCUAAUUCCAUCCUGCUUCCCCACAUUUCCCAAAGGUCGCACUGUUUAGACAUUGCUUUGUGUUUAGUAUCUUUUCAGCCCAUGUUCCUCAGUGACAUCAUGUGCAGGCCUUAUGCCAGGUGCCGAGUAUGCUGUUGUGACACAGGAGACAUGGUGGCUGUCCUUGGGGGGCUUAUGGUCUAGGGGCCUGGACAAAGCAAGCAUCCCAUUGCCUGGCAAAGAGGGGGGAUGGCGGAUAAGGAAUAAAUUGCACUGGAUUCACACAUUUAGGCUUUAUCUUCCAGGGAGAGAGAAUGAAAUGUGGCUCUUAGUGAAAGGCUGUCCCCUGUGCUCUUGCCCUCUGAGCUCUCACUUUAGCUAAUUUAAAGGUCAACCACCAUAAAAUAUCUCCAUGCUUGGUCUUAAUUUCAGUAUUUUUGUUUCUCACAGGCCAACAAAAUAAAAUGACUUCUCAUCAAGGGCAGCACCGGGAAAACUUAAAAAGAGAGCAAGGAUUUGGGGCGGGGGGGCUCUCAGAUUCUACUCUUUUUCCCCUUUUCCUUUUGGGUUGUUAUAUUUCUUCUGUUCUCCUCUAAAUCUAUUGAAACUUGGUAUUGGGAAAAGUGGUAUGAGACUGUCUCUAAGUUGUUUUGAACUUAAACCCAUGCAAUCUCUCCUUGCUACACGUGGACAGAAGGCUCUGAGCUCUUGUCGAGUCAUUUUAGAAUGACCUGAAGAGAGGGAUGGGGUGGCUCUGAGGGUCUAGGACUUUCCUUGGGGCAGCUGCUUGCUGUAACUUUCCAUCAGGUUACGGGGUGAGGGAAGGCAGGCGCCCUGGUGCCCUCUGAAGACGCGCUCUCCUUCCUCAUUCUUGCCUCUGAUCUCUCUUCUUUUCUCUUCCUCUUCUUUCCCACCCAUCCUCUCACCCUAACUCCAUUCUCUUCUUCUUUUUUCUUUCCACAACAGGGAAUGAGAAAGAGGGAGAGAAAGAGGGAGAAGACAGGCUUAGGGUAUAAGCCAGCUUCUGGGAAGAAGAGGAGGACUCAGACACACUCCUCCUCCUGCUCUCCCUCAGAAACUCAAGAGGCAAGGACAUUCUCAGGAUUGUUCAUGCUCCCGUUUUCCACAAAGCAAAACACGACCACCUUGUCUUCGAGGCCUGGGUACUCAUUAUCGAGCAGUCAUGAAUAUAAGACAAUUUAGGCAAAGUAGAGAGGCCUGAGGUUUGGGGAUGAACAUGACUCAUAGUGGUCCCUGUAUUUUGAUGGUCUCAUUUUUUAUGUUCAAGACCCUGACAAUAUUCGUAAUCAAAUCCAUUGGGUCACCUGUCUGGGCCUUCCUAAUUGAGAGCUACCACCCUGUCCGGAGGAAUGACCCCAAGGGCCAUGUUUUUGUUCCAAGUACACCUUUCGUGGCUAUUGCUCAUCAAUACAUGAUAGGUCCUUCACGCCACAUGGGAAAACCAAAUUACUUUUCUGCUAAUUUGGAAUUUGAACUGAGCAAUACAGGGACUUAGAUGGUGGGCCUCGAGGAGAAUUGCAGAAACCUGAAGAACAAAUUCUUGCCACUGAGAUAUCUGCUAAAGCGCUGCAUCCCACUCUGCCUGAGGUGUGAAAGCUUCAUGCUUGCUUGGAUUCUGUAGAUACCCCAGUGUCUUUCUCAUAACAUCCCUGGGAUUUAUGCAAGCUCACAUGGUUUUUGUGGCUUUUUGUUCAAAGCUUCUCACUUAAUACUGUGACCAGGCCUAUAUUUAUCCUGUGAACAAUCCAAUCCCUCUUUCUCUGUGUUUCUUUUAAGCAUUGCAUUUCCAAAGCCACUUGUGUGAGUUUAUCUUUGUUCUUUACCUUUCUGAUUUAUUUGAUCUGUUUUCUGUAUUCUGCCACACGGAUAUGGGUGGAAUUGUAGGGUUUGAGAUAGGACUCUAUAGCAUCCUCAAAUCUUACUGUGCUUUGGGGUUAUUCUUACUUAUGCUACUUGGUGCAGUGUUUAGUUACUGACCUCUUGACCAUGCAAGAGUAUGAAGAUGGUCUUCCUGAAUUUUGAGGUGCUCCCUGAACAUCCUUCAUCAAAACUACGCUCUAAGGGAGGUUUAUGGCCUUCCCCAGGGCUUUAACAAAGUUCUAGUAAAACAGAGCUUGCAGGACUUAACUGAGUUUAAGUGUCGUGCCUUCUUCUUAAUGGGUAUCAAUAUACUGUACUUUUUAUUUAAAAAGAAAGGUGUUUUGCAAGGUUCUC
rnacentral:lncRNA from 1 species